GACGAACGCUGGCGGCGUGCUUAACACAUGCAAGUCGAACGGAAAGGCCCGGCUUUUGUUGGUUGCUCGAGUGGCGCACGGGUGAGUAACACGUGAGUAACCUGCCCUUGACUUUGGGAUAACUUCAGGAAACUGGGGCUCAUACAGGAUAGGAGCUCCUGCAGCAUGGUGGGGGAUGGAAAGUUUCGGCGGUUGGGGAUGGACUCGGGGCUUAUCAGCUUGUUGGUGGGGUAGUGGCUUACCAAGGCUUUGACGGGUAGCCGGCCUGAGAGGGUGACCGGCGACAUUGGGACUGAGAGACGGCCCAGACGCCUACGGGAGGCAGCAGUGGGGAGUAUGGCGCAAUGGGCGGAAGCCUGAUGCAGCGACGCCGCGUGCGUGAUGACGGCCUACGGGUGGUAAACCGCUUUCGCCUGUGACGAAGAGUGAGUGACGGUAAUGGGUAAAGAAGCACCGGCUAACUACGUG
rnacentral:rRNA from 1 species